rnacentral:rRNA from 1 species
AGAGUUUGAUCCUGGCUCAGGACGAACGCUGGCGGCGUGCUUAACACAUGCAAGUCGAACGGUGAAGCCCUUCGGGGUGGAUCAGUGGCGAACGGGUGAGUAACACGUGGGCAAUCUGCCCUGCACUCUGGGACAAGCCCUGGAAACGGGGUCUAAUACCGGAUAUGACCUUCCUCCGCAUGGGGGUUGGUGUAAAGCUCCGGCGGUGCAGGAUGAGCCCGCGGCCUAUCAGCUUGUUGGUGGGGUAAUGGCCUACCAAGGCGACGACGGGUAGCCGGCCUGAGAGGGCGACCGGCCACACUGGGACUGAGACACGGCCCAGACUCCUACGGGAGGCAGCAGUGGGGAAUAUUGCACAAUGGGCGAAAGCCUGAUGCAGCGACGCCGCGUGAGGGAUGACGGCCUUCGGGUCGUAAACCUCUUUCAGCAGGGAAGAAGCGCAAGUGACGGUACCUGCAGAAGAAGCACCGGCUAACUACGUGCCAGCAGCCGCGGUAAUACGUAGGGUGCGAGCGUUGUCCGGAAUUAUUGGGCGUAAAGAGCUCGUAGGCGGCCUGUCGCGUCGGAUGUGAAAGCCCGGGGCUUAACCCCGGGUCUGCAUUCGAUACGGGCAGGCUAGAGUGUGGUAGGGGAGAUCGGAAUUCCUGGUGUAGCGGUGAAAUGCGCAGAUAUCAGGAGGAACACCGGUGGCGAAGGCGGAUCUCUGGGCCAUUACUGACGCUGAGGAGCGAAAGCGUGGGGAGCGAACAGGAUUAGAUACCCUGGUAGUCCACGCCGUAAACGUUGGGAACUAGGUGUUGGCGACAUUCCACGUCGUCGGUGCCGCAGCUAACGCAUUAAGUUCCCCGCCUGGGGAGUACGGCCGCAAGGCUAAAACUUAAAGGAAUUGACGG